CAGCCGCCGCGGUAAUGCGUAGGUGGCAAGCGUUGUCCGGAAUUAUUGGGCGUAAAGGGCUCGCAGGCGGUUUCUUAAGUCUGAUGUGAAAGCCCCCGGCACAACCGGGGAGGGUCAUUGGAAACUGGGAAACUUGAGUGCAGAAGAGGAGAGUGGAAUUCCACGUGUAGCGGUGAAAUGCGUAGAGAUGUGGAGGAACACCAGUGGCGAAGGCGACUCUCUGGUCUGUAACUGACGCUGAGGAGCGAAAGCGUGGGGAGCGAACAGGAUUAGAUACCCGCGUAGUCCCUGUCUCUUAUAU
rnacentral:rRNA from 1 species